UGCAGUCGAGCGGACAGAUGGGNNGCUUGCUCCCUGAUGUUAGCGGCGGACGGGUGAGUAACACGUGGGUAACCUGCCUGUAANNNNGGGAUAACUCCGGGAAACCGGGGCUAAUACCGGAUGCUUGUUUGAACCGCAUGGUUCAAACAUAAAAGGUGGCUUCGGCUACCACUUACAGAUGGACCCGCGGCGCAUUAGCUAGUUGGUGAGGUAACGGCUCACCAAGGCAACGAUGCGUAGCCNACCUGAGAGGGUGAUCGGCCACACUGGGACUGAGACACGGCCCAGACUCCUACGGGAGGCAGCAGUAGGGAAUCUUCCGCAAUGGACGAAAGUCUGACGGAGCAACGCCGCGUGAGUGAUGAAGGUUUUCGGAUCGUAAAGCUCUGUUGUUAGGGAAGAACAAGUACCGUUCGAAUAGGGCGGUACCUUGACGGUACCUAACCAGAAAGCCACGGCUAACUACGUGCCAGCAGCCGCGGUAAUACGUAGGUGGCAAGCGUUGUCCGGAAUUAUUGGGCGUAAAGGGCUCGCAGGCGGUUCCUUAAGUCUGAUGUGAAAGCCCCCGGCUCAACCGGGGAGGGUCAUUGGAAACUGGGGAACUUGAGUGCAGAAGAGGAGAGUGGAAUUCCACGUGUAGCGGUGAAAUGCGUAGAGAUGUGGAGGAACACCAGUGGCGAAGGCGACUCUCUGGUCUGUAACUGACGCUGAGGAGCGAAAGCGUGGGGAGCGAACAGGAUUAGAUACCCCUGGUAGUCCACGCCGUAAACGAUGAGUGCUAAGUGUUAGGGGGUUUCCGCCCCUUAGUGCUGCAGCUAACGCAUUAAGCACUCCGCCUGGGGAGUACGGUCGCAAGACUGAAACUCAAAGGAAUUGACGGGGGCCCGCACAAGCGGUGGAGCAUGUGGUUUAAUUCGAAGCAACGCGAAGAACCUUACCAGGUCUUGACAUCCUCUGACAAUCCUAGAGAUAGGACGUCCCCUUCGGGGGCAGAGUGACAGGUGGUGCAUGGUUGUCGUCAGCUCGUGUCGUGAGAUGUUGGGUUAAGUCCCGCAACGAGCGCAACCCUUGAUCUUAGUUGCCAGCAUUCAGUUGGGCACUCUAAGGUGACUGCCGGUGACAAACCGGAGGAAGGUGGGGAUGACGUCAAAUCAUCAUGCCCCUUAUGACCUGGGCUACACACGUGCUACAAUGGACAGAACAAAGGGCAGCGAAACCGCGAGGUUAAGCCAAUCCCACAAAUCUGUUCUCAGUUCGGAUCGCAGUCUGCAACUCGACUGCGUGAAGCNGGAAUCGCUAGUANNCGNNGNUCAGC
rnacentral:rRNA from 1 species